UACGGAGGGGGCUAGCGUUGUUCGGAAUUACUGGGCGUAAAGCGCGUGUAGGCGGCUUUGUAAGUUAGAGGUGAAAGCCCGGAGCUCAACUCCGGAACUGCCUUUAAGACUGCAUCGCUAGAAUUGUGGAGAGGUGAGUGGAAUUCCGAGUGUAGAGGUGAAAUUCGUAGAUAUUCGGAAGAACACCAGUGGCGAAGGCGACUCACUGGACACAUAUUGACGCUGAGGUGCGAAAGCGUGGGGAGCAAACAGG
rnacentral:rRNA from 1 species